rnacentral:rRNA from 1 species
GAGUUUGAUCAUGGCUCAGAGCAAACGCUGGCGGCAUGCUUAACACAUGCAAGUCGCGCGGUCAGCAAUGGCAGUGGCGGGACGGGUGAGUAACACGUAGGAAUCUAUCUCUGGGUGGGGGACAACAGUGGGAAACUACUGCCAAUACCGCAUGAUACCUGAGGGUCAAAGGCGUAAGUCGCCUGGAGAGGAGCCUGCGUCUGAUUAGCUUGGUUGGGUAGGGGUAAAGGCCUACCAAGGCUACGAUCAGUAGCUGGUCUGAGAGGAUGAUCAGCCACAUUGGGACUGA